CUUUCCAAAAUGAGAGAAAGAAGAAAAUUGAAGAAAAAAAGAAAAAGAAUGGCCCCACAUCCCUUCCAUUUUUCCACCACAUCAUUUUUCCACCUCAUCAUCCACUCCUUCAUCCAACUCAUCCACAUCCUUUUCCUUUCCCUUCUGAGAGCUCAAUGCGACUCUUUCUCUUCCAAAACUUCACGAAGAAAGAAGAAUAGAAUGAUUUUGAAACAAUAGUACAAAA
rnacentral:ribozyme from 1 species